CGCGUGGCGAAAGGGAGCGUAACACGUGGAUAACCUUCCUUCAGGUGGGGAAUAACCCCGCGAAAGCGGGGCUAAUACCGCAUAACAAAACGAUGAGACAUCUUGUUGUUUUCAAAGGCGCAAGUCGCCAGAAGAGGGAUCCGCGGCCGAUUAGCUUGUUGGCGGGGUAAUGGCCCACCAAGGCAAUGAUCGGCAGCCGGACUGAGAGGUUGGCCGGCCACACUGGAACUGAGACACGGUCCAGACUCCUACGGGAGGCAGCAGUGGGGAAUCUUGCACAAUGGGCGAAAGCCUGAUGCAGCAACGCCGCGUGGGGGAUGAAGCUUCUCGGAGUGUAAACCCCUUUCGACCCGGAAGAAAGCCCGCAAGGGUUUGACGGUACGGGUAUAAGAAGCCCCGGCUAACUACGUGCCAGCAGCCGCGGUAAAACGUAGGGGGCCAGCGUUGUUCGGAAUUACUGGGUGUAAAGGGUUCGUAGGCGGUGCGGCAAGUCGGGAGUGAAAUCUCUGGGCUUAACUCAGAGGCUGCUUCCGA
rnacentral:rRNA from 1 species